rnacentral:tRNA from 1 species
GGAGAGGUAUUCUAAUUGGUAAGGAGCUACAUUGGAAAUGUAGUGCACCGAAAGGUGUUGCGUGUUCGAGUCACGUCCUCUCCGCCA